GAUGAACGCUGGCGGCGUGCCUAACACAUGCAAGUCGAACGGAGUCCAGCCUUUAAGACCUUCGGGUCAAAGAGGGGAAGACUGAGUGGCGGACGGGUGAGUAACACGUGGGCAACCUGGCUCAUAGAGGGGGAUAACAGAGAGAAAUAUCUGCUAAUACCGCAUAAGCACACCCUGCCGCAUGGCAGAGGGUGAAAAGAGAAUCGCUAUGAGAUGGACCAGCGUCUGAUUAGCCAGUUGGCAGGGUAAGAGCCUACCAAAGCGACGAUCAGCAGCCGAUCUGAGAGGAUGAGCGGCCACAUUGGGACUGAGCCACGGCCCAAACUCCUACGGGAGGCAGCAGUGGGGGAUAUUGCACAAUGGGGGGAACCAUGAUGCAGCGACGCCGCGUGAGUGAAGAAGUAUUUCGGUAUGUAAAGCUCUAUCAGCAGGGAAGAUAAUGACGGUACCUGAAUAAGAAGCCCCGGCUAACUACGUG
rnacentral:rRNA from 1 species